rnacentral:rRNA from 1 species
UACGGAGGGGGCUAGCGUUGUUCGGAAUUACUGGGCGUAAAGCGCACGUAGGCGGCUUGGUAAGUUAGAGGUGAAAGCCUGGAGCUCAACUCCAGAAUUGCCUUUAAGACUGCCGAGCUAGCAGGUGAGAGAGGUGAGUGGAAUUCCGAGUGUAGAGGUGAAAUUCGUAGAUAUUCGGAAGAACACCAGUGGCGAAGGCGGCCAUCUGGGACAACACUGACGCUGAAGCACGAAAGCGUGGGGAGCAAACAGG